rnacentral:rRNA from 1 species
UACGUAGGGUGCAAGCGUUGUCCGGAAUUAUUGGGCGUAAAGAGCUUGUAGGCGGUUUGCCGCGUCUGCUGUGAAAUUUCGGGGCUCAACCCCCGAACUUGCAGUGGGUACGGGCAGACUAGAGUGUGGUAGGGGAGACUGGAAUUCCUGGUGUAGCGGUGAAAUGCGCAGAUAUCAGGAGGAACACCGAUGGCGAAGGCAGGUCUCUGGGCCAUAACUGACGCUGAGAAGCGAAAGCAUGGGGAGCGAACAGG